AUUCUACUCCCUCCGUUGCACAAUACAUGCCUUCUAUUUGUCAAAAUAUAUAUGUAUCUAGACAUGUUUUAGUAUAUAGGUACAUCCAUUUUUGGACAAAUGGAAGUCAAGUAUUUUGGAACGGAGGGAGUACACA
rfam:Triticum aestivum genome assembly, contig: Triticum_aestivum_CS42_TGACv1_scaffold_321290_4BL